AACGAAAUGUUGAGUAACCUGUUGUAUUAAAUAACUAACGUUGCUGUAAUUCAGUCCUUACAGUACUGAAUUAACUCGUAUAGUUCUGACUUACCUCUUAGGACUAAUUAAGUAGUACUGAAUGAACUCUUACGACUCUUACAAUAACUCUAAUAGAAAGAGCUCUUCAGAAAGAAUUCGGAGUAAAACUCAAGAAUUGAUUCCUUCUUGCAGUACUGAAUUAAGUCAUAGAAUGCUGAAUCGAGUACUGAGUUGGAUUUUAGAAUUCUGAUUUAGCUAACUGGACUUAUAGGCUACAUAAAAUGUGGGUGGGGUGGGGAUUCCAGUCUCUUUCUAAUAAGAGAUAAAGUUUAAGUCAUCUAGUUUAACUAAAAAUCGUCUUCAUGUGAAGUUUGGGUGUGGGGAGUGAACACUUUUUUUUUUUUUUUUUUUUUUUUUUUUUAAUCUGAGGAAAUGUCUGCACCUGUUGCAGUACAGAGUUUACUUUGUCUAACAUGCUGUUAUUUUGUACCAUUGAUAAGGGUUUUUUAUUUUUUUAAGGAAUGUGUGUGUGCAUGAGAGUAAGACAGUGAGAUAGUGUGAAGAGGGGGUUGGGGGUGAGAGGUGCUGGUUUCUUUCCCUCAGGCUUGCAUGUGAAUGCAGCCUUCACCAGGUGAUGAAAUGGCUCAUGCUGAGAAUAGCCUUUUGUUCUGAAUAUUCAGUUAUACAUCUUCAUCUUCAGUAUUCUGUGUCUGGUAAGAUGGUCUUGUGAGUACAGCACUUGCCAUGUAUUUGAAAAAAAAAAAAACAGGUAUGUUGCUCAGUUAGUGCUGUUUCCGUGGACAGACCCAGACACAAGAAGAUGGUGUGGCAGUGUGUCUUGUGCUGAAAGAUUGACAGCUUGUCCUGCAAGGGCAUCGUGUUGCGUGACUUCAGUGCUGUUUUGAAUCCUGUAGCCCGUAGCUCCUCCGGAGCAGUAAAGGAGGCAAUGCGUUUGCCAGACCAAAUAGGGCUUAAUGGCUAUUGAAGGAGUCACAGAAAAGUAGCAGCAAAACAAGAGAACAGUUGUUUCUGCAUUCAAAAAGGAGGAGAUGUGUUGCUUUUUACGACUGACAGAAGGACAGCUCUGUCGCUCUUGCAGUGCAGGAAUGGCUCCUAUUGAAAUGCACAUAAGGAAGGUGCUUUCUAGGAGCUCCGGUGUUCCUAGAGGUCCACCCUGCUUUAGACAAUGAGUCAAGUUGUUUCCCUCCCUUUGUUAUGCACUGUACCCCUACGGGCCACAUUGUCCAAUGGGUUUUUCUUAUCCCAUGUGCAUGUUUCUCCAAGUGAGGAGUUCUUCUCUUGAAUUUAACACAAGUGCAUACACCCCCAUGGAGAGGGUCUUAUCUGUUCUGUGUCCUUUAUUUCCUUUAUUUGAGGAUCCCGGGUGUCAUAUGAAUGACUGCACCACAUGCAGCUGCAGGCUCUUAGUCUGAAAUAUGCCAUCAGGUCCAUUUACAUUUUGUUAGAGUGGAGUGACCGGAGCAGUUUCGUCCAUUUUGAUUUACAGUGAUUUGAUGUCAUCCAUUAAAUACCUGACCCACGAGGCUCAGGGCUUUAUUCUGAUUAUGUAGAGAAACAUAAUGAGAGUUAUGACUAUGAGUGAGGACUAUGCCCGUUGUCUUUCAUGUUAUCAUCUUAAAACAACUUUAUUUAGUGGCUUUAUUCAGCCCCUGGGCACAAAGGAGCUUCACUACGAUUUUGAGAGCUCAUAAUCCAUUUUAGGGCGUGUCAGGGUUUAGGAAAUAAAGCCAGUUUUUCAGAAAAAGUAAGAUAGAACGUGUUUCUAAUCCCAAAGUAAUCAUCAGGAGCCUCUUCUGCAGGGAAUUGACAUUUUAUUUACGAGGCAAGGAAUAUGGUAUCUAAAUCCGACUGCAAAAUUUGAAUUGUAGUAUGUCACUUAAAUGUUAAACAUGGCUGAAUCAGCAUCUGUAUAUAGAAAGACUGUUGUAAAGUUAUUUGUUACAGACUUAUUAAGUUGUUUUUUUUACCAUGUGCAGUCACAGUUAAAUAAUAAUUUGACCGUUGUGCAACCAAAAUUAAAUGAGAUAUGUAAUUAAAUUGGGAGAAAACAAUUAUGUAGACUGACGCUUAUAAAUCAAGCACCUUGAGCUCUCGGGCUAGAACCAUGAGCGAUAAAAAUCAAAAUUGAACCGCCACAGUGUUUAACUAAACAAGCUACUUCCUGUUCAACUGGUUCAGGGGGAAAAAAACACUUUGCUUUAGUUAAAGACGAAGAUUCAAUUGACACCUCUCACCAAAACAGCCCAUUUACAGCAUCAAUAUUGAUAGGGGUAAUUGGUCCGGAAGUGUAGCUCUUGGUGUUGCAGCCAUAUUCUCAAUGUUCUUUUAAGUACAACAAGUUACAGCAUUUUACACAGGCUCUAAAUGUUCUAAUGCUUUUAUAGAGGCUCAACACUGAACUGUAGCCUACUGUUGCUUGCGGUUGGCCAAGAAAAAGGAGAAUAGGCUGCAGGUGGGGCGAUCUUUCAUUGGGGCAAACUUUGAUGUCGCUUUGCUUUGAGUGUGCAAGCCACCACGGAUUGCCUCUGCAGUUUGGAGCAGACACACCUGUUCCAGGUGUGUGGUCCCAUAGCUUUGCAUGCUUGAAAGUCUCUUUUUCCAGCAUUUCAAUUGUCUGUUAGCUUGUGUGUUAGGCCAAAGAGCACUAUUUCAACAGUCAGGGUAUUUCCUGACUGUUUCCCUUACAUGGGGUGAAGAGUCAGCUAUAUAUAAAAAAAAAAUGUUAUUCAUUUACAGUAUUGUAAUCUAGGUUAACUCAAGUUGAAUCAUGUCUGCUUAAUGAAAUGUUAUGAAUGAAACAGUAGGAAAUGAAGUGCAUAAUGCACCUCUUAGACCUGAUUUUAACUUGAGAAUAGGCUGGCGCAUAGGCGUUAAUAUUGUAACUGGGUUUCAUGCUGAAUCCUCAAGGCAGGGCAGAUCAGGGUGUAGUAGGCAGACCCCUCACCAAGUAGGAAUGUGAAAAGAAUCUGCAGCAUGCAAACCAAGACAUGCACAGUUGACUUACUUAGGUCACGAUGGACGAUUUUAUUACACAUUACCAUUGAAACAUGUGGCACAACGAAGGUGUCUGCAAGUACGGAGAAAGUGCAUCUCAAAACAAGUUAGCUGACCUUCAUGUUUUGGCAUCAGUUCUGAUUGGCAGCUGUGACUGCCUCCCUGCGUCCUGCAUGCAAAUGCUGAUAAUAUGAACACGUGAGGCUCUACAGGCCUUGGAAAUUCAACCGUGCUAUGUCCAAAUGCAUUUGUACUGUAGAUAAAGGAGCAGUGAUGAAAAAGCAAACAUCUAGGUUUUUUGUUUUUUUUGAUGCAGUAGCCAUUGUGAACUUGCCCAUGUAGUCACCAGGAGCUGAGUGUAUUUGAUGUGGCUCUUUGAUAUUUAAUGACUACUCAUUAAUGGGAGACAUUGCUGGAUUUUUAAUGCAUUCUGGCCCCUGGGGGUAUCUACCAUCAAAUUCAUAAUUUAGCACUUAAUGGAUAUGAUUCCGGAGUGCACUUAUCUCUUAACCUGCAAAAUGCUUUUUAUGAAGCAUUGGCCUGACAGACAUUCACUGACUAAAUUUAUGGCAGUUUCAAGAAGCUUUAAUGGCACUUGCU